UACCAGAAUGCUUCAGAUCAUCGGGGGCCCAUAACCUUUUCAGUGUUCAGUGCCUGGAAAAGUUUUAAGCUCCUCUUGCGUGCAGUCGGUUGCGUUUUAAGGCUGAGAGAAUCGGGCAGGGAUGGCCCCGGGGACACAGCGGUGCUGCUACAAGCACAUCUCUAUGUGGUCUUCUUGAUGAGGAAAAGUCUCCACCUCUCUGCACAGAAGCUCACCAGUGAAUAAUGGAGAGCCCUUCCAACAAAUUUGGAAGAAAUAGAAACUCUGUCAUUCACCAUCUAGAAGACCAGAAGUAUUUCCAAACAGAACUUAAGCCAACACCGCUCAAAUUCUAAUAUCCUUAGAGGCAGCAGUUUUAAUCUUGAUAAUCUGUAAAAGCAGUACAUUUGGUGGAGAGGCCUGCAAAGGACCAUAAUGAUGACACCUCUGGCCUGCCUUCAGCAGGCUCCGCACAGCACCCCACACCAGGGUGCCACCCAGCAGAAUACUGAGACCCAAGGACUAAAACAGAAGCCUACAAGGAGCCUUCGACAAAACCUUGGACGUGUCAUAUCCCAA